GGUAGGGUACCGAAGUGGUCAACCGGGGCAGACUGUAAAUCUGCUAGCUAUGCUUUCAGUGGUUCGAAUCCACUCCCUACCACCA
rnacentral:tRNA from 2 species